GAGCUGAUCCUCCCUAGGCCCUGCCUAACCUUGAGUUGGCCCCCAAUCCCUCUGGCUGCAGAAGUCCCCUUACCCCCAAUGAGAGAAGGGGCAGGACCAGAUCUUUUGAGAGCUGAGGGUUGAGGGCAUUGAGCCAACACACAGACUUGUCACCUCUGUCCCCGAAGACACCUGCACCCUCCAUGCGGAGCCAAGAUGGGGAAUGGAACUGAGGAAGAUUAUAACUUUGUCUUCAAGGGUACUAUCGUGGUGCAGUGGGGGCCCUCCUGGUGUUUGACCUAACCAAGCACCAGACCUAUGCUGUGGUGGAGCGAUGGCUGAAGGAGCUCUAUGACCAUGCUGAAGCCACGAUUGUCGUCAUGCUCGUGGGUAACAAAAGUGACCUCAGCCAGGCCCGGGAAGUGCCCACUGAGGAGGCCCGAAUGUUCGCUGAAAACAAUGGACUGCUCUUCCUGGAGACCUCAGCCCUGGACUCUACCAAUGUUGAGCUAGCCUUUGAGACUGUCCUGAAAGGUUAGAGCCUACCUUUAUCCUGCACCCCUAUUCCAUCCCCGUGGCUUCUACAGGCAGCAGUAGGAAUGCAGACACUCAGCCCUCACCCCAGCUAAUUUCUCAGCUCCUCUGUGGGUCCUGGCACCACUGCCUGUCCCCCUCAGUCCCUCCCCAGUGCCUCCCACUCAGCCUGGAGCUCAGGGAGGGAACAGGCCACACGCCCCAUGGGGCUGACUCUUGGUUCCUUCUCCACCCAAGUAAGUAGAAGGGACCCCUAUGUCCACACUUCAUUUCCUUCCUGCAAAACCUCCUGCAAGUGUGGCCACCCCCAUGCUCAGAAGGGGCAUGCAGUAUGUAUGGGGGGUUGGGGAGAA
rnacentral:sRNA from 1 species